rnacentral:rRNA from 1 species
AGAGUUUGAUCAUGGCUCAGGAUGAACGCUGGCGGCGUGCCUAAUACAUGCAAGUCGAGCGAACCACUUCGGUGGUGAGCGGCGAACGGGUGAGUAACACGUAGGUGAUCUGCCCAUCAGACGGGGACAACGAUUGGAAACGAUCGCUAAUACCGGAUAGGACGAAAGUUUAAAGGUGCUUCUGGCACCGCUGAUGGAUGAGCCUGCGGCGCAUUAGCUAGUUGGUAGGGUAAAGGCCUACCAAGGCGACGAUGCGUAGCCGACCUGAGAGGGUGAACGGCCACACUGGGACUGAGACACGGCCCAGACUCCUACGGGAGGCAGCAGUAGGGAAUCUUCGGCAAUGGGCGAAAGCCUGACCGAGCAACGCCGCGUGAACGAUGAAGGCCUUCGGGUUGUAAAAUUCUGUUAUAAGGGAAGAACGACUUUAGUAGGAAAUGGCUAGAGUGUGACGGUACCUUAUGAGAAAGCCACGGCUAACUACGUGCCAGCAGCCGCGGUAAUACGUAGGUGGCGAGCGUUAUCCGGAAUUAUUGGGCGUAAAGAGCGCGCAGGUGGUUGAUUAAGUCUGAUGUGAAAGCCCACGGCUUAACCGUGGAGGGUCAUUGGAAACUGGUCGACUUGAGUGCAGAAGAGGGAAGUGGAAUUCCAUGUGUAGCGGUGAAAUGCGUAGAGAUAUGGAGGAACACCAGUGGCGAAGGCGGCUUCCUGGUCUGUAACUGACACUGAGGCGCGAAAGCGUGGGGAGCAAACAGGAUUAGAUACCCUGGUAGUCCACGCCGUAAACGAUGAGUGCUAAGUGUUGGGGGUCGAACCUCAGUGCUGAAGUU